rnacentral:ncRNA from 1 species
UUCCAACAAGAUGGUGCCACGUAUCAUAUGGUAACACCAUUAUCGGCGUACUGCAAAAUAUGUUUGGUGAAAGGAUUAUUUCACGAAUUACAGCUCCGAUCAUCUGGGCACGAGUGCUUUUAUUAGACCUAAACCAAUCGGGCCUCGUGUCGGUAUUAUGUGGCGACUUAAGUAUAACUUAGGGCUGAUUGCACGGGUUCGUCCAGACGACGUAUCCUUCAAGUGUCUGUCCUUUCAAUUGUCGGCGGUAUUUACUCGCCUAGUAUAGUCGAAACUAGUGACGAAAAAUCAGAGUUCGAUUCUGGAGAGGAAAACGGCUAUUACAUCCAAGGAAGACAGCAGGCGUGCAACUUACCUACUUCCAGAAUGGAGAGGUAGUGACGAAAAAUAACGAUACGGGACUCUUUUGAGACCCUGUAAGUGGAAUACAGUCUAAAUCAUUUAACUAGGAUCAAUUAGAGGGCAAGUAUGAUGCCAGCAGCCGCGGUCAUAGCUAGU